AGAGGCCCAAAUUGAUGCACCACGGCGUAAAGUGUGAUUAGAGACAAAACCCGACUAGAACUAAAUACCCCCUAUGCUGUCAUACGCCAUGGGGGUCACGAAACCCAACAACGAAAGUGGUUCUAUGAGCCUUGAACUCACGACAGCCAGGACACAAACUGGGAUUAGAUACCCCACUAUGCUUGGCCCUAAACUAAGGUGAUGAAAGUACUAACUUCGCCCGCCAGGGAACUACGAGCCCUA
rnacentral:rRNA from 1 species